rnacentral:lncRNA from 1 species
CAUUGAUCCCAAUCCCAUUGAUCCCAUUAAUCCCAAUCCUAUUAAUCCCAAUAUAAUCCCAAUCCCAUUGAUCCUAAUCCCAUUAAUCCCAAUAUAAUCCCAAUCCCAUUGAUCCCAUUAAUCCCAAUCCCAUUAAUCCCAAUCCCAACCCUAAUCCCAUUAAUCCCAAUCCUAUUCCCAUUAAUCCCAUUAAUCCCAAUCCCAUUAAUCCCAAUCCUAACCUUAAUCCCAAUCAUAAUCCCAAUCCUAAUCCCAAUCCCAAUA